CGUGGGAUACUGCAGGUCAAGAGGAUUACAAUACGUUAACUGAGCUAUCACGGGGCUGAUGUCUUUAUACUUGCAUUCUCUCUCAUUAGCAAGGCCAGUUAUGAAAAUAUAUCAAAAAGGUGGUUCCUGAAUUGAGGCAUUAUGCUCCUGGGGUCCUAGUGGUUCUUGUUGGAACAAAACUUGGUGCAAAAGAAGAUAUCACUCCAACAAAAAGAAGCACCAAAAAGCUUACGACUUCAGUACAUGAAUUAGAAGUAGUUCUUUUUUUUUUUUUGUGUUAUGAGCUUGGAUUCAAUCUUCCAUUAUGUUGAACGUGGAAUAUGAACACAAUGUAAUCUGAAUUUUUGGGAUAUUUAUUUAGUGCAAUUUUGGAUAUAUUGAUGGUUCAACAAAUUUUAGUA